rnacentral:lncRNA from 1 species
ACUUGGCUGCAACUGGACCCAGAACUAGGGAAGAGGCCAGGGACAGAUUUUUUUUUUUUAUUUUUAUUUUUUUUGCCGAGGGACGUUUCAAAAUUUUGCACGGCCAGGGUGACAAAAAGAGGAUUUAAGAGCCACAAGCGGUCCGCACAUGACCCAGACUUCGUUCCUGUGCGGCUUCCAGAGGUGUUCAUGCAGAAGACUGGAUGCAGGACCCUUGGUGGCACCAGUGUGCAGAUGAGCAGAUAGUGACUGAUUGCCACUGGGGCUAUAACAAAAUAUAAUAAACUGGGUACCUUAGAAGCAACGGAAAUUGAUUUCUCAUCGUUCUAGAAGCUAGGAAGUUCACGAUCAAGGUAGCAGCAGAGUUGGUGCCUGCUCUGGAGGCUGGAAAUCCAACAACAGAGUGCCAGCAUGAUCAGGUUCUGGAGAGGACCCUCUUCCUGUUUGCAGACUGCUGACUUCUUAUUGUAUAUUCCAAUGGUAGAAAGAGAGCAAGAGAACUCUCUGGAGUCUUUUUUUUAUAAGGGUGCUAACCCCAUUUAAGGAGGUUUCCCCUCAUAAUCUAAUUAUCUCUCAAAAGCCAUACCUUUCAACACCAUUGCAUUGAAGAUCUUUACCAUGCUGGAUUGGAAGAGAAAAGACCAUCACUAAAGCAAAUGGAUCAAAUGGAGUUAUAAAUCAACUCUGUACUCUACAGGAUUGACUCAACUGCAGACAUCUCCAAUACACUCCCUCAUGGCUUUAUUUUUUCUGCUUAUGUGGAAAAAUAACAGUAAAUACAGUUAACUAUCCCAAGACAGAAGAGUAUUAUUAAAAAAGAAUACAACGUUAUUGAUUUUUCAAGACAUAAUCAGAUAUUUUUAAACUCUGAUUUAAUAAAACAUAAUGUAAUUUC